GCCAUUUAAAUUUACUUUAUAGUUAAAGUUUUUUUACAGCUUAGUAAUUUAUUAUUUGAAUGAUAUUACAUGUAAAUUUUUGUGGGUAAUAAAGUUAUCUUAAGGAGAUUAUGUUAUUCGCAGUAUUUGGUAUUAUUAAUCAAGGAAAUUUGGAAUUAGUAAUUUGAUGUAUGAUCGGCUAAAGUCGUGCCAGCUGCCGCGGUUAUACGUAGGAUAGAAAUAAAUUUUAUUAGUUUAAAAGUUAAUUUGUUUAAUGAAAGGUUAUAUUAGUUUAAUAGGUAAAAUUUGUUAAAUUAAGAAGAUUUUUGAUUUAUUGAAUGAAGCUUUGAAAAUUGAAUAUGAAACUAGGAUUAGAUACCCUAUUAUUUUAAUUGUAAAGUAAUUAAACUUGAGUAGUAUUAGAUAAUUGCUUGAAACUCAAAGAAUUUGGCGGUGUUUUAGUCUUUUCAGAGGAAUCUGUCCCGUGAUUGAUAAUACACAUUAUAUUUAACUUAGUCUUGUAUAUCAACUUGUAUAUCGCCGUCGUAAGAUUAUCUUGUUAGAGGUUUAAUUUUCUUAAUAUUUUAAGAUAUUAUGUCAGGUCAAGGUGCAGUUUAUGAUUAAGUGUGAGAUGGAUUACAAUAAAAUUAUUUAAAUGGAUAUAUUAUUGUAAUAUGAUAUUGAAGGUGGAUUUGGAAGUAAUUUUGUUAAAUUAUGAUAAAAUGACUGAAGCUCUAGAACAUGUACACAUCGCCCGUCGCUCUCACUAUUAAGGUGAGAUAAGUCGUAACAGAGUAGUCGUACUGGAAAGUGUGUCUAGGAAGA
rnacentral:ncRNA from 1 species